GACGAACGCUGGCGGCGUGCUUAACACAUGCAAGUCGAACGGUGAAAGCGGAGCUUGCUCCGCUGGAUCAGUGGCGAACGGGUGAGUAACACGUGGGCAACCUGCCCCUCACUUCGGGAUAACUCCGGGAAACCGGGGCUAAUACCGGAUAUGACCUCCUUGGGCAUCCUUGGAGGUGGAAAGUUUUUCGGUGAGGGAUGGGCCCGCGGCCUAUCAGCUUGUUGGUGAGGUAGUGGCUCACCAAGGGGACGACGGGUAGCCGGCCUGAGAGGGCGACCGGCCACACUGGGACUGAGACACGGCCCAGACUCCUACGGGAGGCAGCAGUGGGGAAUAUUGCGCAAUGGGCGAAAGCCUGACGCAGCAACGCCGCGUGCGGGAUGACGGCCUCCGGGUUGUAAACCGCUUUCAGCAGGGAAGAAGCCGCAAGGUGACGGUACCUGCAGAAGAAGCACCGGCUAACUACGUGCCAGCAGCCGCCGUAA
rnacentral:rRNA from 1 species